CCGCUGCCAGCUGGGGUUCCUGGUGAUGUGAUUUUAUUUUGGUGUUCAGAAUCACAUUGCCAGGGAUUUCCAACCAUCAGUGAGCUACCGCA
rnacentral:pre_miRNA from 1 species